CUGGCCUAGGAGGCUGACAUCCUCUGUUAAACCACAGAACAGCACAGCACAGGCAGCAGCAGGGCAAGCGUCCCCCACAUGGCCUCUGUGGUUGUGAUGAGCUGUGAACUGAAGGGACUGCCUCUAGGGAUGAGAUGUGAUUUAUCCACAUGGUCCAAUUGGGGGUUUCU
rnacentral:sRNA from 1 species